rnacentral:rRNA from 1 species
CAGCAGCCGCGGUAAUACGUAGGUGGCAAGCGUUGUCCGGAAUUAUUGGGCGUAAAGGGCUCGCAGGCGGUUUCUUAAGUCUGAUGUGAAAGCCCCCGGCUCAACCGGGGAGGGUCAUUGGAAACCGGGAAACUUGAGUGCAGAAGAGGAGAGUGGAAUUCCACGUGUAGCGGUGAAAUGCGUAGAGAUGUGGAGGAACACCAGUGGCGAAGGCGACUCUCUGGUCUGUAACUGACGCUGAGGAGCGAAAGCGUGGGGAGCGAACAGGAUUAGAUACCCCGGUAGUCCCUGUCUCUUAUAC